AAACGCUCACAAUGAAGACGUGUGUUCUGUUAUUCACCUGCUUUGCAAUCGUUCAAUCGCGGAACAUCGGUUCAAUUGAAUCGAGUACUGUGAAAGUGAUCCAUAGAAAGAUAGAUAGUGUAGACUUAAGUCUACAAGAAAUGAAAUCGGAACCUUUACAUAAAUUUGAUGAUGCGUUUGUGAAAUCGGAUUUAUUGGAGAAGAUGAGAAAGUAUAGAGAUUUAAAUGUGGUUGUUGAGACUUCGGAUACAAAGAAGCUAUUAAGAAGGAAGAGAACCGGUUUAUCUGGUUUAGUUGAUCCGAAAUGUCCAAAGGGUUAUAGAAGAUAUUUUAUGAAGUGUAUCGAAGUCUGUAAGAAAAACAGAAAAAACAGCUUUUUUAUCAAAAACUAUAAUGUACUUUAAUAUAGAUGCUUCAGCAACCUUCUUCAAGUUAUACUAUCACGCCUCAGCUAGUAAUUUAUUACUAUUUUUUGUAGGUCGCGUCACUGAUGAGGCCUUGUCUUAGACUUUCUUUUUAUUGUUGUUUAAUGGAUGUAUUGAAGAUAAUAUUAAGUUAUAAGAUAUAAAAUUUUCUCAAAUCAUAA